rnacentral:tRNA from 1 species
UAAAACCCAUAGAACUACUCUACAUCUCCUGAAUGCAACU